AAUAAACGGAUUAUUUUAACUCAUAUAUGUCCUGAAUAUGGCAGGACGUUUCUACAAGUUACCUUAAAUAACGGGCUAUGAGUAAGAGUACAAAGCAU
rnacentral:ncRNA from 2 species